GAAGACAAUUAAGUCUUUCCAUUUGCAAAACAAUGAUUCUAUCAAAUGUAUUGAUUUCAUCAUUUUACCUCAGUGAUGUCUUUGUUACUUAUGGCAGCUAAUCCUUCCUGCAAGCCAUGGAGUUCUGACAUGCUAACAUAGUACCUGCACUGUGGAUAUGCCAGCUCACUGAUGCGUUGAGGACAUAAGCAUAAUGAAAGAAUGGUACCAUUAGGUCCCAGAGGCCAAUGACACUUAACCUCUCUGUGGGAUGCUGUUCAGGAUUGAACCCUUCCAGUGUGACCUGGCGCGGGGCUGAGGGCCCUCCGGCUGAGCAGUGAUGUCGCACAAACAGAUUUACUAUUCGGACAAAUACAACGACGAGGAGUUUGAGUACCGGCAUGUCAUGUUGCCCAAGGACAUAG
rnacentral:lncRNA from 1 species